ensembl:ncRNA F27B10.3 ncRNA
AAAAAAUAAACUUCCCAUGCCGGGAAUCGAACCGGGCCGCGUGGGUGAAAACCACGAAUCCUAACCACUAGACCACAUGGGAGGACGAGAAAACUCGUUUUCCGGCUCAACAGGAGGGUCAACAUGGGACAAUGAAAUGUAUCACUUU